rnacentral:rRNA from 1 species
AGUGAACGCUGGCGGUAGGCCUAACACAUGCAAGUCGAACGGCAGCACAGUAAGAGCUUGCUCUUACGGGUGGCGAGUGGCGGACGGGUGGGGAAUACAUCGGAAUCUCCUUUUUCGUGGGGGAUAACGUAGGGAAACUUACGCUAAUACCGCAUACGACCUACGGGUGAAAGCAGGGGAUCUUCGGACCUUGCGCGAUUGAAUGAGCCGAUGUCGGAUUAGCUAGUUGGCGGGGUAAAGGCCCACCAAGGCGACGAUCCGUAGCUGGUCUGAGAGGAUGAUCAGCCACACUGGAACUGAGACACGGUCCAGACUCCUACGGGAGGCAGCAGUGGGGAAUAUUGGACAAUGGGCGCAAGCCUGAUCCAGCCAUACCGCGUGGGUGAAGAAGGCCUUCGGGUUGUAAAGCCCUUUUGUUGGGAAAGAAAAGCAGCAGGUUAAUACCCCGCUGUUCUGACGGUACCCAAAGAAUAAGCACCGGCUAACUUCGUG